CAGCAGCCGCGGUAAUACGAAGGGUGCAAGCGUUAAUCGGAAUUACUGGGCGUAAAGCGUGCGUAGGCGGUUUGUUAAGUCUGUUGUGAAAUCCCCGGGCUCAACCUGGGAAUGGCAAUGGAUACUGGCAAGCUAGAGUGUGUCAGAGGAUGGUGGAAUUCCCGGUGUAGCGGUGAAAUGCGUAGAGAUCGGGAGGAACAUCAGUGGCGAAGGCGGCCAUCUGGGACAACACUGACGCUGAGGCACGAAAGCGUGGGGAGCAAACAGGAUUAGAGACCCGAGUAGUCCCUGUCUCUUAUAC
rnacentral:rRNA from 1 species